rnacentral:lncRNA from 1 species
GUGGAGGUGCCAGAAGACAUUUCAAGCAAGAACCCUAAAAAUCUCGAAGAGAUCAGGCGAAAUAAGAGCCGAAAGGUUCGUGGGAGACCUAACAAGAAGAAUGCAGUAGAAGAAAAAUGGAGGAGAAGGGGCACCUAGAUGGAAAAAGAAGGAAUGAAUGUUUUGGAGCUAACCUAAGUCGCUCUGAAGGAUGUAGAGGCGUAGGGACAGGGUUGACUCGAAGAACACCUAGGGCCAAAGCGGACACCAAGGAAGGUCAGAGCUCUCGGAGAGAAGGUGGGCACCAACAGGACUUUCAAGCAGAAUGAAACUCCUGAAGGCGGAAAGGCG